rnacentral:rRNA from 1 species
UACAGAGGUCCCAAGCGUUGUUCGGAUUCACUGGGCGUAAAGGGUGCGUAGGUGGUGAGAUAAGUCGGAUGUGAAAGCUCGGAGCUCAACUCCGAAAUGGCAUUGGAAACUAUCUCGCUCGAGGGUUGGAGGGGGGACUGGAAUGCUUGGUGUAGCAGUGAAAUGCGUAGAUAUCAAGCGGAACACCAGUGGCGAAGGCGAGUCCCUGGACAACUCCUGACACUGAGGCACGAAAGCUAGGGGAGCAAACAGG